CGGGAUGAUGAAAUGCACUGGGCUCUGAGUAGUAAAUCUGCGAAUCCCGUUGGAGGAAAUGUACUUGCCUAGAAAGCAUUGUCUGACUU